UACGAAGGGGGCUAGCGUUGCUCGGAAUCACUGGGCGUAAAGCGCACGUAGGCGGCUUACUAAGUCAGGGGUGAAAUCCUGGAGCUCAACUCCAGAACUGCCUUUGAUACUGGUGAGCUUGAGUCCGGAAGAGGUGAGUGGAACUGCGAGUGUAGAGGUGAAAUUCGUAGAUAUUCGCAAGAACACCAGUGGCGAAGGCGGCUCACUGGUCCGGUACUGACGCUGAGACGCGAAAGCGUGGGGAGCAAACAGG
rnacentral:rRNA from 1 species